rnacentral:rRNA from 1 species
CACAUGCAGUCGAGCGGAUGAGAAGAGCUUGCUCUUCGAUUCAGCGGCGGACGGGUGAGUAAUGCCUAGGAAUCUGCCUGGUAGUGGGGGACAACGUUUCGAAAGGAACGCUAAUACCGCAUACGUCCUACGGGAGAAAGCAGGGGACCUUCGGGCCUUGCGCUAUCAGAUGAGCCUAGGUCGGAUUAGCUAGUUGGUGAGGUAAUGGCUCACCAAGGCGACGAUCCGUAACUGGUCUGAGAGGAUGAUCAGUCACACUGGAACUGAGACACGGUCCAGACUCCUACGGGAGGCAGCAGUGGGGAAUAUUGGACAAUGGGCGAAAGCCUGAUCCAGCCAUGCCGCGUGUGUGAAGAAGGUCUUCGGAUUGUAAAGCACUUUAAGUUGGGAGGAAGGGCAUUAACCUAAUACGUUAGUGUUUUGACGUUACCGACAGAAUAAGCACCGGCUAACUCUGUGCCAGCAGCCGCGGUAAUACAGAGGGGGCAAGCGUUAAUCGGAAUUACUGGGCGUAAAGGGCGCGUAGGUGGUUUGUUAAGUUGGGAUGUGAAAG